GGAUAACCUGCCCUUGAGACGGGGAUAAACCCGGGAAACUGGGUAUAAUACCCGAUAGAUCUCGGCUGCUGGAAUGCACCGAGUUCUAAAGCUCCGGCGCUCAAGGAUGGAUCUGCGGCCUAUCAGGUAGUAGUGGGUGUAGCGUACCUACUAGCCUACGACGGGUACGGGUUGUGAGAGCAAGAGCCCGGAGAUGGAUUCUGAGACACGAAUCCAGGCCCUACGGGGUGCAGCAGGCGCGAAAACUUUACAAUGCUGGAAACAGCGAUAAGGGGACCUCGAGUGCCAGGUUACAAAUCUGGCUGUCGUGAUGCCUAAAAAGCAUUGCAUAGCAAGGGCCGGGCAAGACCGGUGCCAGCCGCCGCGGUAACACCGGCGGCUCGAGUGGUAACCGUUAUUAUUGGGUCUAAAGGGUCUGUAGCCGGCCGGAUAAGUCUCUUGGGAAAUCUGGCAGCUUAACUGUCAGGCUUUCAGGAGAUACUGUCUGGCUCGAGGCCGGGAGAGGUGAGAGGUACUUCAGGGGUAGGGGUGAAAUCUUGUAAUCCUUGAAGGACCACCAGUGGCGAAGGCGUCUCACCAGAACGGACCUGACGGCAAGGGACGAAAGCUAGGGGCACGAACCGGAUUAGAUACCCGGGUAGUCCUAGCCGUAAACGAUACUCGCUAGGUGUCGGCCACGGUGCGACCGUUGUCGGUGCCGUAGGGAAGCCGUGAAGCGAGCCACCUGGGAAGUACGGCCGCAAGGCUGAAACUUAAAGGAAUUGGCGGGGGAGCACCACAACGGGUGGAGCUUGCGGUUUAAUUGGGAUUCAACGCCGGAAAU
rnacentral:rRNA from 1 species